AUGCGAAAGCGAGUUCUCCAUGGAAUUCACACAACAUUCCUGCGUUCUCGUUGGCAGGUCUCUGCUCUAUUCCAUGUCCAUGGGGACAGUGCGUCGAUCGUGGAGCAUGGCCUGGCAAGCCGCGACCUGACUCUGUUCGGCCAACCAGACAAGUACUACAAGCAGGGAUGCUAUCAAGGAUGGGGAUUUUGUCAACGCCUUUUAAUGCGUCAGCCACAACCUCAAGAUCAGGCUCCUUGUUAUGGAGAAGGUGCUCUCGAGGGUGCUAGCACACUCAACAAACAUGGAUGUGCCUUGCUACCCAAAGAUUCUCCUGGUGAUGUUCCUAAGAGGGCACCAGAUGAAGAAUCGGCGAAGGGUACAACCAGCAAAGAUGAUGCCGGGAACCUGACGACCUCUGAUAGCAAUGUUGAUGGUGCUUCACCUUCUUCGGAGAAGGCUGGUGAGUUUUUCUAUUCAGCUCAAAGAAGCGCUGUAGCACAAGAGAGGCAAUUGGAAGCAAAUCAGUCUGGUCAGAAUUCACCGGAGAGUCUUUCCUUGGAGCAGGAUUCUCAAUUGGCAGGUCAGGAAUCAUCUCCCGUUCAGCUAAGCUACAUGUUCUUCGCUGAAAGAUUAGUGAGACUGGUUGAUUCUGAACAUGUACCAUCUGUUCCAUGUGAGAGAAAUAGCAUGUCGAUAUCAUCUUGA
rnacentral:rRNA from 1 species